AUUGAACGCUGGCGGCAUGCUUUACACAUGCAAGUCGAACGGUAACAGGGAGCUUGCUCCGCUGACGAGUGGCGAACGGGUGAGUAAUGCGUCGGAACGUGCCGGGUAGUGGGGGAUAACGCAUCGAAAGGUGUGCUAAUACCGCAUACGUACUGAGGUAGAAAGUGGGGGACCUUCGGGCCUCACGCUAUUCGAGCGGCCGACGUCUGUUUAGCUAGUUGGUGAGGUAAAGGCUCACCAAGGCGACGAUCAGUAGCGGGUCUGAGAGGAUGAUCCGCCACACUGGGACUGAGACACGGCCCAGACUCCUACGGGAGGCAGCAGUGGGGAAUUUUGGACAAUGGGCGCAAGCCUGAUCCAGCCAUGCCGCGUGUCUGAAGAAGGCCUUCGGGUUGUAAAGGACUUUUGUCCGGGAGCAAAUGCCUGGUGUUAAUAGCACUGGGAGCUGAGAGUACCGGAAGAAUAAGCACCGGCUAACUACGUGCCAGCAGCCGCAGUAACAC
rnacentral:rRNA from 1 species